rnacentral:rRNA from 1 species
GAGUUUGAUCCUGGCUCAGAGCGAACGCUGGCGGCAGGCUUAACACAUGCAAGUCGAGCGGGCGUAGCAAUACGUCAGCGGCAGACGGGUGAGUAACACGUGGGAACGUACCUUUUGGUUCGGAACAACUGAGGGAAACUUCAGCUAAUACCGGAUAAGCCCUAACGGGGAAAGAUUUAUCGCCGAAAGAUCGGCCCGCGUCUGAUUAGCUAGUUGGUGAGGUAAUGGCUCACCAAGGCGACGAUCAGUAGCUGGUCUGAGAGGAUGAUCAGCCACACUGGGACUGAGACACGGCCCAGACUCCUACGGGAGGCAGCAGUGGGGAAUAUUGGACAAUGGGGGCAACCCUGAUCCAGCCAUGCCGCGUGAGUGAUGAAGGCCCUAGGGUUGUAAAGCUCUUUUGUGCGGGAAGAUAAUGACGGUACCGCAAGAAUAAGCCCCGACUAACUUCGUGCCAGCCGCCGCCGUAAC